rnacentral:tRNA from 1 species
CCUGGUGGCUCAGAUGGUAAAGCGUCUGCCUGCAAUGCGGGAGACCUGGGUUCAAUCCCUAGGUCAGGA